rnacentral:rRNA from 1 species
GACGAACGCUGGCGGCGUGCUUAACACAUGCAAGUCGAGCGGAGCGGCGAACGGGUGAGUACCGCGUGAGUCACUGCCCCCCUCUCUGGGCUAACAGUUGGAAACGGCUGCUCAUACCCGAUAGUGGGGGAUGACUCGCGUCCUAUCAGCGUGUUGGUGGGGUAGUGGCCUACCAAGGCGACGACGGGUCGCCGGCCUGCGAGGGCGACGGGCCACAUUGGGCGUAGAUACGGGCCAAACUCCUACGGGAGGCAGCAGGGGGGAAUAGUGCACAAUGGGGGAAACCCGGAUGCAGCAACGCCGCGUGCGGGAUGACGGCCGGCGGGGUGUAAACCGCUUUCAGCCAUGACGCGGUAGUGGCAGAAGAAGCACCGGCUAACUACGUGCCAGCAGCCGCGGUAAUUC